rnacentral:rRNA from 1 species
CGUAGGGUCCAAGCGUUAUCCGGAAUCACUGGGCGUAAAGCGUGCGUAGGCGGGAGUUUAAGUGAGAUGUUAAAUCGUGUGGCUCAACCAUAUCGAUGCAUCUCAUACUGGGCACCUAGAGGAAGGCAGAGGCAAGUGGAAUUUGUAGUGUAGCAGUGAAAUGCGUAGAUAUUACAAGGAACACCAAUGGCGAAGGCAGCUUGCUGGGCCUUUUCUGACGCUGAGGUACGAAAGCGUGGGGAGCGAACAGGAUUAGAUACCCUGGUAGUCCACGCCGUAAACGAUGCAUACUAGUCUUAUGGGGUAUCGACCCCCUGUGAGACGAAGCUAACGCGAUAAGUAUGCCGCCUGGGAAGUACGGCCGCAAGGCU